rnacentral:rRNA from 1 species
CAGCAGCCGCGGUAACACGUAGGGUGCGAGCGUUAAUCGGAAUUACUAGGCGUAAAGCGUGCGCAGGCGGUUUUGUAAGACAGGCGUGAAAUCCCCGGGCUCAACCUGGGAAUGGCGCUUGUGACUGCAAAGCUAGAGUGCGGCAGAGGGGGAUGGAAUUCCGCGUGUAGCAGUGAAAUGCGUAGAUAUGCGGAGGAACACCGAUGGCGAAGGCAAUCCCCUGGGCCUGCACUGACGCUCAUGCACGAAAGCGUGGGGAGCAAACAGGAUUAGAUACCCGGGUAGUCCCUGUCUCUUAUAC